GAUGAACGCUGGCGGCGUGCCUAAUACAUGCAAGUCGAGCGAACAGAUGAGGAGCUUGCUCCUCUGACGUCAGCGGCGGACGGGUGAGUAACACGUGGAUAACCUACCUAUAAGACUGGGAUAACUUCGGGAAACCGGAGCUAAUACCGGAUAAUAUAUUGAACCGCAUGGUUCAAUAGUGAAAGACGGUUUUGCUGUCACUUAUAGAUGGAUCCGCGCCGCAUUAGCUAGUUGGUAAGGUAACGGCUUACCAAGGCAACGAUGCGUAGCCGACCUGAGAGGGUGAUCGGCCACACUGGAACUGAGACACGGUCCAGACUCCUACGGGAGGCAGCAGUAGGGAAUCUUCCGCAAUGGGCGAAAGCCUGACGGAGCAACGCCGCGUGAGUGAUGAAGGUCUUCGGAUCGUAAAACUCUGUUAUUAGGGAAGAACAAAUGUGUAAGUAACUAUGCACGUCUUGACGGUACCUAAUCAGAAAGCCACGGCUAACUACGUG
rnacentral:rRNA from 1 species